CCCGCCCACCCCGGGGGCCCCGCCCACCCCGGGAGCACAGGCCGCGCUUCCGUCCCCGCCCAGGCCGGUUGAAUCUGGUUCCGCCGCUCGGGGUUGGCUCAUGCGCAGUGCGCGGGGUUGGCGGCCUUGGCGCAUUGCGUGGGGGCUGCGGGCAGGGUUGGUUCGGGCCGGGUCGCCGGGUGGGUCAUUGCUGGGACUUGGUUGACUUUCUUGAUGCCGUUCGUGCUCUGAAUAGAACUGACAGCCCGAGACGCGGAGGACUGGAGAGCACCUUCAAGUCCGGACCCUGAGCUGUGAGCCCAGUCUCCGCAACACGGGUCCGUCGUUAGAGCGGAGGUGACACAGGUGACCAGACAUGGCGGUCUCCGGCCCCGCCCUGUGGCCCUGACAGCCCGCCGGGCGCUUCCACGGUGUCCCUCGGUGCCACCCAGCAGCUGGAUGGGUUGUGCCCGGAUCCUGGUGGGUCUGGGGAGGAGCCUGCAAGGACAGGCUGGUUCUGGGGGAGGUAGGGUCCCGCCUGUCAGCUUCUGAGAGCCCAGACCGCCCUUGGUCUCUCUGGGCAUCAGAAUUCUCGGCCUGGCCAGAGCAUCCCAGCCAGAUGGAGGAGCCACCAAGUGCUGCCCAGGAACAACGUCAACAGGACAGCAGCCGGUCAGCUCCUCCUCCUGAGUGUCGAGGUCCUUGUCCAAGCCCAGGACUGCAGCCUCAGUGCAGCCUCAGGUUUGCCGUGGACUGUGUGACUCUGGGCAAAGCCCUUCUCUCUCUAAGACUCCACUUUCUCAUUAUGAGGUGGGAGCUUGUUUAAACCGGCCCCACCUCCCUAAGCAGAGCGAGUCUGUCAUUGCUUUGCUCCUUCCCAGGAGGCCUUUACCCUGUGUCCAUCCUGUUGUGCGUGGGGUCACUCCAGUUGACUUGAUGGCAGCCAAUAGCCACUGUGAUCAGUUAUCAGGGCCUUUUUUUUUUUUUUUUUUCGUAGCCCCAGGCAUUGGGACCUUUGGAAGGCCGAGCCCCUACACGGGCCAGCCUCAGAGUGUCCCAUAUUUCACGUCAUAUAUAAAUGUCUUGCUGCAAAAACCCACAAGGGCAUUUUACAGUUUUGCUUUUGAAAUUAUUUGGCUACAGGUAACUCAUUUGAGUGGUGAUGUAGUUUUUCUAAAUCCGUUGUGUAUGUGCAGGAAUUCUUGCAAAGUGGGAAAAAAACCUAACCUGUAAAUAGUUGCCAAAUAUGAGAGCGUUUUGGGCUCCGUUUAACAGUCAGUGAAGCCAAGGCAAUGAUACACUUCGGGGGUAUUUACCCAGGUGUUCAUUAAUUUUGAUGUUGCUGUUUUCUUGUUCAGGAGUCAAUAGCACGUGUUGUUGUUUUUCCCAUAGCUCA